CCUAACUACCUUAAACUUCCAUAAACUAACUUCUAACUACUUCGGGCAAUUGCCCAAAGUGCCCAAAACAGCCCCAACUAAUUUCUAACUAAUUUUCGACCUCUAAUCAUCCCUCACUUAGUUUUAUAUAAGCAGUCAUCAUUCACCAAUUAAAGAGAUUCUUCUCCACUUUUUGAUUCCACUCAUUCUUCACUUUCUCUCAAAUUUUCACUCUCCAUUCUCCAUUUUUCAACCUUUCCUCACUAGAGCUCAAAUCCAUGGUUGUUGAAGCUUCACAUUGAAGCUUCAAUAAACUUGAGCAUAAACCUUCACUACACUUGACACCAUAAUUUUUCAUGUCUCAGGCAUCGGAAAGUGGCAAAAAAAUCAACAACCACAAGAAAACAAAUGGAAGAAAAUAAAAAGGAUGAAAAAGGGAUGAAGAGGAAUUGAAGAACCGUUUACCGUAUUGAAUUUGGGUCGCCAUUGAAGAACCAUCGGAGGGUCUCCGAUCAGUAAGCCUCAAACUUUAUUUAUCAUUCUAUGAAUUCUUUGCUUGCUUGUGUCUUCCAUGAUUGCUUGCUUGUUUGAGUUAUCUUUGCAUGCUUGUUUAUGUAUUUGCCUUUCUUUUCAUCUUGUGUGGAUGAUUACCGCGAGAAUACAAACCUUGCCAUGAACACAAACCAUAGAAAAUUUAACAUCUUACCAAUACCAAAUCAAAAUCCGAUUAAAAAAUCAUAACCAUUAGAGAAAUCAUUCGUAAUCCAAAACAGUGAGAAAAAGAAUCCCUAAACACAACCGAAACAAGGCAAAAAGAUGAGAAACUUGGGCCAAGCAUUUUACCGAACACUUGGUGUGCGGUUGCAAAACAUCAAAUAUGUUAACCAAUUCACCAAGCGUAAAACCGAAAUACCAACACAUAAACCAAAGUUAAAUUGCACAUAGAAUUAAGCUAAGAAAAAAAAUGAUGCUGAGUCGAAACAAAAAUUGAGACGUGCACUGAUUCAAAAUUGAAUUGAAUCAAACUUACCGGAACCGAAACACAAACUGAGUUGAACAAAUUCGAACCAAAUUGCGAAAACAUAAUUGCAACCCAAAGCCAAACUUCGAAUUGAAACAAAACUCUGAAUCAGAACCAAUCCAAUGCUGAAUCGUGACUCGAAUUCGAACCAAGCUUUAACCGUAAUGUUGAGCCAAAACCGUGAGAGUUCCGAGCAAGUUAGUUCUGGUUUGGCGUUCAAAAAUUGCGUUUCAAAUAAGUGCUUGUGUGAAACGCGAUUCUGAACUUUUUUUGUCAUGUUGCGCGAUUCCGCCUUUGCUUCCCACUUGCGUUUUACGGUUUGGAGCUUUUUCAUGCAUACUGUCAUAAGCUUUACUCUUAUUCCUUAAACUCAUUUUGCGGUUGGUGCUGACUUUUCAACUUGAAAAAUUCAGCAAAGCAACCUCUUUUCUUUAAGGCUAAUGCUAAGAUAUGGCCUUGAGAUAAGUUAAUUAUUUAUUUAUAAAAAUAUUUUUUUGGAAUACGCGCAUUUCAUUUUUUGAAAUUUAAAACAUUGUUUUAUUCUAUAUAAAUUUUUUAAUUGUAGUAUCUUUAACUUAUGCCUUAAGGACACAAAUUAGCAAGACCAUUUCUUUAAGGUUAAUACUAACAUUUGCCUUUGGGACACAAGUUAAUGAUUUAUUUGUAGAAAUAUUCUCUUGAAAUACGUGCAUUUAAUUUUUUGAAACUUAAAAUAUUAUUUUAUUCCACAUAAAUUUUUUAAUUGUAGUAUCCUUAACUUGUGCCUUAAGGGCACAAAUUAGCGAGACAAUUUCUUUAAAGCUAAUGCUAACACGUGCCUUUGGGGCACAAGUUAAUGACUUAUUUGUAGAAAUAUUCUCUUAGAAUACGUGCAUUUAAUUUUUUGAAACUUAAAACAUUAUUUUAUUCUACAUAAAUUUUCUAAUUGUAGUAUCCUUAAUUUGUGUCUUAAAGACCCAAGUUAACGAGACCCUUUCUUUAAUUACUCUUAGUUGUUAACUUGACCCUUUCUUUAAUUACUCUUAGUUUUGUUUUCUAAAUUUUUAUGAUAAUGUAACUACACAUACACUUUACAACAUACACUACAUGUUAAUGCACUGCUAUAAUCUUUUUCCAUUAUACUUAUAUCAUUUUUUUCCUUUUUUUUUUGUUAUCAGUUAAUAAUGUCACAUGACACUAGCCUUGAUUAGAAAUUGACUUUAACUAUGAAAAUAAUUAUAUUCUUCCCCUUUUCUCUAUCAUUUUUGUUUUAUUAUUGUUUCAACUUACCACAUGUCAAGUAUUGAUUGGUCAUUGAAUUGAGUUCUAGAAAAUAAUCCAAACACUCAUAAAUCUUAUCAUGUUCUUAUUACUUGUUUGAAUAUUAAUUGAGUUUCUUUGUUUAAAAUAUAUUUCUAUAUCAGACCUCACUAAUUAAUUUUACAUCUAUGUUGCUUUAUUCCUAAUUUUCUAAGCAUCGAAACUUAAUUAAAUAUUUGGGUUAUUAAUUGAUUAAUCGUUUUAUAUUAGUUAGUUUUUAUUCAUAAAAUGACUAAUUAAUUAAUUAAUAUCCUCUGCAAGCCGAUUAAUUUGAUCUAAUACAAAUUUGAAUGUUACGAUAAUUAGAAGUUGACGUUUAUCUUCAACCUUAAUUUUCUUCUCUUGAUUUCAUGAUUGAACUUACUUCUUGAAGUGAUUGCUUGACAAGUUGACCUUAUAUCUCGCAUAAUCCCCAUUUGUCUUUAUCUGCUUAAUUGAUAAAAUUUAUUUAGUCAAUUAAUUAGAUUAAUGACUUUAUGACUAUUUAAUUACUCCUUUCAAAACAAUUUACAUGUUCCCUUAGCUUAUGGCUUAAAUUUGAUUUGUCUGAUUUCAUAGGUUUAUCAUUAUACAUAGUUCAACUAUUAUUUUAAUCCCACUGAUUAGUGUUGACAAAAGAUCACUUCAGUUAACCAAAUCCUUUGAAUUACACUGUAAUCCCCAAGCCUAUUUCAAGUUAUCAAAAAACCCUUGAUCACUUGAUAUGGCAAGUUCAUUACGCUCAAGCUAUUGUGGAUAUGAUGAAUCUCAGGAGCUCAAGGCCUUAAGGUUCAAACGCAAGAUCAAGACUUCAAGGUCAAUAUCAGUCAAGCAUAGCUAGCAAAGUGGGUUACUUCUCAAGUACUGCAUAUGUAUCAACACUUGUCAAAUCAAAGUUAGAAUUGUGUGGCAUGAGCCUUAAGUAAUAGAGAAGGAAUGGGAUUGGAGAAUUCCUACCCCCAUUCUGAAUAUCUUUGGGUAUGGGACGAAUGACCCAGUGCUCAUCAUAUUCACCUCUAUUCAUAGAAUUUAGCACAAUUCAAAUCAUACGAUUAGCAAGUCUUUCUUCACAAAGCAUUAGUUCAACAAACAAAGACUAAACCAAUAACUCAUUAAUCAUAAUUCAAAGUGUGUGGCACGAGCCUUAAGAAAUAGAGAAGGGAUGAGAUUGGAGUUUUCCUACACUCAUUCUGGAUAUCUUUGGGUGCGGGACGUUUGGCAUGUGGCUCAUCAUAUUCACCUUAUUCAUAGACUUUAGCACAAUUUGAAUUACAUGAUUGUCGAGUCUCCUUCUACAACAAAUGACACUACAUCAAUAGGACCAACACAAAGGAUCUCAUGUCAACAACUUGUUAAUUUUGAUUCGAGUUGCAUGUUAUGAGCCUUAAGAAACAAAGAAUGAUGAGAGUGAAGAAUUCUUAUCCUUAUCUAAAAUAUCCUUGGGUACGGGACGAAUGACCCAGUUGCUCAAGGUAUUCGCCUUUGUUCAUAGACUUUAGUGCAAUUUGAAUCAUACAAUUGACAAGUCUUCUUCUUCGAGCAAGCAUCAUAUCAUUCAACACUUUAAUAGUGAAACACCAUUGCACAUCAAUCAUUUCUUACUCAGUGAAUCAUUAAUCAUACUAUCUUUGACAUUCAGAUAUCCCUUGGAUCAAUUCCCUUGUAACCAAGUCUUUAAAAUCCUGAUCAAUCAACUUAAUCUUUGUUUGCCUUGUCAGUCCUCUCGUGCCUUGGCAAACCCCUUAAUCAUUGUUCGUCUUAUAAGACCUCUCGUGCUUAGACGAAGCUCUUUCCUUAUAAAUCCUCUCGUGUGUAGGCCAAUCAUUUCAUAAUCAUUGUUCGUCUUAUAAGACCUCUCGUGCUUAGACGAAGCUCUUGCCUUAUAAAUCCUCUUGUGUGUAGGGCCUUAUAAAUCCUCUCGUGUGCAGGCUAAUCAUUUCAUUAUCAUUGUUUGUCUUAUAAGACCUCUCGUGCUUAGACGAAGCUCCUGCCUUAUAAAUCCUCUCAUGUGUAGGCCAAUCAUUUCAUAAUCAUUGUUCGUCUUAUAAGACCUCUUGUGCCUAGACGAAACUCUUGCCUUAUAAAUCCUCUCGUGUAUAAGUCAAUCAUUUCAUAAUCAUUGUUCGUCUUAUAAUACCUCUUGUGCUUAGACGAAACUCUUGCCUUAUAAAUCCUCUCGUGUAUAAGUCAAUCAUUUCAUAAUCAUUGUUCGUCUUAUAAGACCUCUCGUGCUUAGACGAAACUUUUUCCUAAUAAAUCCUCUCGUGUAUAGGUCAAUCGUAUCUCACUUGUCCUUGUGGUUGAUUACCAUCAUUGGUUAGUACCACAUCCCUGCUUGUUAAGCAAUUUGCCUCAGAGAAAUCCUAUCGAAUCUCUCUUUGUUUUCAGCCGUAGCCGGCUGAACUACAAUUGCUCUGAUUUUCUCAUUGCACGAUGAGAAUACGUAGGCACGAGGGUUCGAAUCCUCCACGAGCAUACUUAUUUAUUACUCCUUAUGCCUUAGGGAACUUCAUCCAUUCAUCUCCAUGGAUCAUUAAUCACAACCUCCAUUCAUAUUCUACAUUCCUUCACUUCAUGUUAUAUACCCCAUUCUUUGAGCCGAAUACAAUAUACCUUUGAGUUCCAUCUUGUAUCUGUGUGAACCAAGAGGCGAUUUGUUUGUCUUAUAAGUCCUCUCAUUGCUUAGACGAACAUAUCCUUACUUACUUUGCAGUUGUAUACAUGCAAUCCUUCUUUUUCGGUUAUUCCAAUACAGUGUUGUAGGCCCUCACUUGUUGGUUCACACCAAUUUACUCUUGGGUUCAUAUCUCACCCCUUUUUUGGAGUUCAAACAACAUUAUUCUUUGGAUUAUGCCAUAUUGUCUAUCAUAAUUCUCUUCAUCUCCCACCACUAGUUCUUUGAACUACAUAGAUCUGAAUUCCUCAUUGCACUAUGAGGAUACGUAGGCAUGAAGGCCCUAAUCCUCACCGAGCACUCUAUCUAUUUCUUUUCUUUUUUCCCCAUCCUUUUGCGAGUAAUCUUUAGAUAUAGCACCUAUUCGAGCGAUACCAAUCAAAACGGUUCCCAUGGAGUACCAUGGAUGUUUGGGGUGCUAAUACCUUCCCCUUGCAUAACCGACUUCCUUGCCCAACAUAUCUAUUUUCCCCGGGUUUUAUCGAUGUUUUCCCUUUCCUUCUGAAAUAAAUAAAGUUCGAUGGCGACUCUAUUGCAUAUUCGAGCGUGCGAUACGUUCAGGUAUAUUUCCGUUAGCUUUAGUAGGCAUGAGGGCCAUAAUCCUCACCGGGCACUUUAUCUAUUUCUUUCUUUUUCCCUCCAUUAUUUUGUGAGUAACCUUUAGAUAUAACACAUAUUCGAGCUCGAACAAUCAAAACGACUCUCAUGGAGUGCCAUGGAUGUUUGGGGUGCUAAUACAUUCCCCUUGCAUAACCGACUUCCUUACCUGCAUAUCUCUUUCCCCGAGUUUCAUCGAUAUUUUCCCUUUCCUCCGGGAAUAAAUAAAGUUCGAUGACGACUCUGUUGUUUGUUCAAGUGUGCGAUGCGUUCGGGUAUACUUCCGCUAGCUUCAACACCUAUAAUUUCAAAUAAUAAUAGUUGUUAAAAAAUAACAUCAUUAGUAAUUAUAACAUACAAUAAAUUACGAAUGAGGAAUAUAAAAUUCUUACUUUUUAAUUUUUGCAUAUGCCUUCUUGAUGAUCGUUACGAAUAACAUGCACAUCAUCUCUAUAAACUUCUUCAUAUGAAUUAGACACGUGUGUUGCAUAAGAAGAAGUGGAAGCAAUAUCAAAACUUUCAUCAUCACUAGGAGAAGUAUGUUUUCCUUUGAGAAUAAUUGACCAUAUCCUCGAAAAGUCCGUAGGAUUUGUCACAUAAAAACUUGUUUUGCUUGAGUAGCUACGAUGUAUGAUUCGGUGUUAUAAGCUACCUUGCCAAGAUCAAUCCAUGUGAAUCAUAACUCAUAAAUUUGUACACCAUUGUUAUUGGAAACCCACUUGUAUUUAAAUAAAGGUACUUUGAAAAUAACAUAAUCAAUCUUCAAAAUCUCCUCAAUGAAACCAUAGAAUGCGGAAGUUGCCAAAAUUGGAUUCUUAUCUUUCAAACUAGAGAAAUACAUGGAUUCGGCCUCAACCAUAACCCCACUAUUUUGCAUUGUACUACAAACAUUUCUUGAUUUGAAUGCGACACUUUGAGGGUUUCUUCAUUGAAACUUGCUAGAUACUCUUUGAGCGAUUCCGAGUAUCCUUGUCGAAUAUUAAAUAAAUUGGUAGUCGACACUUUCCUAGGUUUACUUGCUAAAAAAUGUGUUACCGUUUUCUUAGUUAAAUCCUGGUAAUUGACUGAGCAUCCGAGUAAACUCAUGAACCAUCGCAGAGCACCCUCUUUAAAGGUCCCGACCAUAAGCUUACAUUUGAGUGAGUCAAAAGCCACUACUAUUACCAUUUGGUUAUUGAUGGCAAUAAUAUGCUCAUGUGGAUCAGUUUUACCAUUGAAAGAUACUAGCGAUAGUGACUUGAAGUUCUCUGGGACUUGAUCAUCCCAACUAGCUUCAGAUAAAGGUUGAGAAUUUAGAGGCUCCUCCUCUGCAUACCCUUUCUAUAGACGUUGUGUUUGCAAAACUUUGACACUAUCUUGCAAGGCUUCAUUUUUCUGACGAAGUACUUCCACCAUCACGAGCAAUUGAGUGAUAUCUGGCGGUAGAGGUGGAUCGCUUCGGCUAAGAGAUGAUCCUGACAUCGUCCAGCUGAAGUAUUAACACUUUUGAUGAUGGUUUUGUGUGGCUUGAGCAAGUUUACCGAGGCCCCACAGUGGGUGCCAAAUGUUCUUGCUUAAAACACUAAAAGGUUUACUUCCUUAUUUUCAAUCAAGAAGAGCCUAAAAUGAUUGGUUGGAGUGUCUGUUAUAUAUUUCUUAUCUCAUUUUUGCAUGUUUGUUACCCUCUAAGCAUUCUCCUAUUUACAUGUCUCAACCUCCUUCUGUCUUCCCCCAUUUUUUACUCUUUAUAUUCCUCAUAAAUACAUCUGCCAAUAACGUUGGCGCCCCUAUACUUGCUAUAUAACAUUUGUCUCUUCAAUAAUUAUAACUCCCUUGGUUUAAUGUAUCAUUUCAUAACUAUUUCAUACGAUCCUUCAAAUGUAAUUGUAACCUUGUCAUCAAAUCUAACCAGUAUGAACUAGAUCAUUCCCAACUUACAUGAGAUCGGCUCCGUCAUACUUAUUUUGAUACCUUAACCAGACUCUGAUUAGUAGAUGACAACACAGUAUCCGACCUGUUAGCCUCAUCAUACUCACUUAUCACCAACUUGACUUCAGAGAACUCAUGUAAACAAAUAGGCUUCAUCGAUCUUAUACCUCAAUUUUUCGGGAUGUACAAGUUUUAUUGUCGACCUUUCCCUCGACCCAUGCUUAUGGUAUUCCUUCCUGGGCCCAGAUCCUUCAUGCCUAGAUUGUGUCUUUCCUUAGCAUCCCAGGAUCUUUUCUCCUUAUUUCUUUCCUCCCCAUUGAUAUAACCUUCUUCUUUGUUCAUGACUCCCUCCAUGCUAGUGGCCGACUUUUGCAUCAAUGAGUCAUUGAAAUGGCCGGCCUUCAUGCCGUUUUGACAGGCCUUAUACAAACAUCUUUUGAUUUGGAUGAAAGACUUUUAUAGUCUCUUCAUUAAAACACGCCAUAUUUUCUCGGAGGGACUCAGAGGGUUCCUGGAAGACGUUGAAGAAGCUGGUUGUAGUCAUCUUUCUAUGUUUGCUGGCGGAGAAAUGUUGCACCAUCUUCAUGGUUAGAUCUUGGUAACCGGUAAUUGAUAAUCCAUGAAGACUCAUAUACCAGCGCAAUGCCACAUCUUUGAAUCUUCCCACCAUAAGAUUGCAUUUUAAGGAGUCAAAAGCCCCAACUAUUGCCAUUUUAUUGUUAAUUGAUAUUAUGUGCUCCUGAGGAUCACUUUUUCCAUCGAACGACGACAAAGAUAGUAGUUUGAAGUUUUCUGGGACUUGAUCGCCCAAAAUUAUCCCUGUGAGAGGUUGAGGAUCAAGGAGCUCCUCCCCUCUUAAUCUUCCUUAAUGUUUUGUGACUGCUGCGUUGUAUGGAAACUUUCCUGUAGAGAUUCGUUUAGCUUACAAUGAUUCUCCAUAAUUGUAAGGAGUUGUGUCAUGUCUGGUGGGGUGAGAGGUUCGCUCCUGCUAGGAGAUGAACCAGACAUUCUAUUACUCUGGUGAAAAUGUAUUAUUUUAUAAGGCUUGGGAAAGUCUUACCAAGGUCCCAUGGUGGGCGCCAAAUGUUCCUGAUAAACACAAUUCGGUUAAUCUCUCUGAGGCAAGUCAGGUGAGAUCACAAUCGUCUUGUCUGUAGGGGUAUUAGUUGUCUGUCUUUUCUUCCUCGUUAGGAAGCCCCUUUUAUACUUGUCAUGCCACCAAGGACCAUUUAAGGAAUGUCCCUUCAGAUCCCAUGUUUAAGUUAUCUUUGAUAACGUCCUCCGUCCUCUCUAACUCUUCUGUAACGUCUCGUCCAUCAUUUUCUGUAACCCCAUAAUAAUCACAGAGUUAUCUUGUAAUCAUCAUAGGUACUGUUCAUGUUGUCUUCUAACACCUUUCAAGAAAUCGGAUCUGACCUGAUCGUGUCGUCUACCAAUAUUCUUAUGGGACUGUGACCGACUUACUUAUGCCACAUAACUAUACUCCCUUUGUCCGAGAUCCAACUUGCUCAUACUUAUGUAGUUCGACAUAUUUGUUCCUCUCUACUCGGCCUCAACAACUCUAUCUUAGAAAUUUUAAAAUAUCCAAAUAACAGUUUUGUAAUAAUUUUCACAAUAAAUCUCAACAUUUGUUUAAAAUAUCUUUUAAAAAAAUAGGGAAAACACACUAACCGGUAGUUACCAGAAGUAAAAGUAGCGUUUCACCGUGGUGAAAAAAUCUUCCAUGACCUACCUAUAAACUUGUGUAGUACUAGUACUUGGGGUACUUACGACAUACAACAACGUCAUUACAUUGCUCGCGAGGUUAACUUUAAGGUUAUUUCAAUUCCCCAGAUACUAUUCAAUUUCUCUCUAAACUCUUUCAUUUUUCCGGUAACCAUGGCCACCACCGACCUAAUCCAGAACGGAACUUUACAAUUUCAACCACCAGUCGAACCAAUUUCCGAUGCCGUCAACACUUUGACGACUGACGAAACGGAUUCCGAAGAGAAGAAAUGGCCCGGUUGGCCUGGUCACUGUGUUUUCCGGCUGGUUGUGCCGGUCCUUAAAGUCGGGAUCAUAAUCGGUCGCAAAGGGGAGCUUAUCAAGAAGACUUGCGAAGAGACUCGUGCUCGGAUUCGUGUUCUUGAUGCUCCACUUGGUACUCCUGAUCGAAUUGUGAGUUUCCCUUUUCAUUACAAUUUUUUAGGGUUUUAAAGUUCACUUCAUAUUAUGCUUCACCCGUAGGGACACAAAAUGUUGCUGAAUUUAGUUUGUAUUAUAUAUAGCUUGCACCUUUUGUUGUAGCUAGUAAAUCGCCAAAGUGAAUAUUUAGUUUAGUUUCAUGAGGAUAUUACUAUUAUUUGGGUAUCUUGUCUGAUCAAAUUGUUAAUCUUGCCUUCCAUUACUCUCUUGUUAGGGUUUUAUUUCCCCCUUUGCUUUGUCAAGACCACUUCAUGUACAUGUAAGGUACACUAAUUGAUAACUCUACCGGUGCGGCCCCGGUCAGAGUCGCAAGUAUGACUGAGUCUGAGUCGUAUUACUGCAUUCUUUUUGCAGUGGUUUUGGUCUGCUCCAUAUUUAAGACCCAUAGAGACCAUUAAAGAAGAUUGUCUCCUUUUGAUAGGUCGUAAUGGUGUCUUAAUUGCCAGAUUCUCAGCCAUGUCCCUAAGUCGCUCAUACAUGCAAUUUCCCUUGCUCCUUAAUUUGAAUACCCCCUUCAUGUUGGUUCUGGGCUGGCCUGAUCGACUUGGCCUGUUAGUUUGCCUAGCUCGGCCAUGCCUUGUUGGAUAGGUUCGAAAUUGGGGCAAGUUCUUCCGAGUUCGGGUUUAGACCCGGCCCAAACUACCGGAUUGUACAUAGUCCCUCAAGCAUGAGGCUUGUAACUAUGAGAUGCAUUGUGGGCAAAUACCAGAUUGUAUAUAGUCCCUCAAACAUGAGAUGCUUUGCGGGGAGAAGACCGAAUUAUACGCAGUCCUUCAAGCAUGAGAUAUGUAAGAGCGAAAUGCUUUUGGUGGGAGAUCAGGUGAAAGACUGGAAUGCCUCAGGCCUCCUAAUUUGAUUAUUCUUGCCUUGUAAUUUUGGGCUGGAAGAAUAGACUUGGCUUGUUAACUUAAAACCAUCCGGCUUCCGUUUCUAAGGCUAGCUAAGGUUCAGGGGGGCUACAACCCCGACCCAAAAGAGAUCGGAUAUGUACCCUUCACAUUUAGCUUCACCUAAUGGUUUCAUUUUCUCAUCUUACUUUUAUUUAAUGCUUAUAUUAGCGACAGUGAUGUAAUUUGAUUUUCAAUUUGCUUUCAUUUUAACUUUGUUUUUAUACUAGUGGAGUUUCUUUGUAGGAUUUAUAUGACUUGACAAAAAAAUGUUGCUGAAUUUCGUACGUAAUAUAUGUACAACUUGCACCUUUCAUUGUAGUUAGGAAAUUUCCAAAGUAAAUAUAUAGUUUAGUUACUUGAGGAUAAUACUUUUAUUUGUGUAUCUUGUCCAAUUUAGUUUUUAAAAUGGUUUAAAUUUUGAUUUUAGGUGCUUAUUUCGGGGAAGGAAGAUUUGGAGGCACCUCUUUCACCUGCAAUGGAUGCUGUAAUAAAGGUUUUUAAACGUGUAUCCGGAUUAAGUGAAACUGAUGACAAUAAUACAACAUCAGGAGUUGCAGGGGCUGCAUUUUGUUCCAUCCGUUUAUUGGUGGCCUCAACACAAGCUAUCAAUUUGAUUGGAAAGCAGGGUUCGUCGAUUAAAACUAUACAAGAAAAUACCGGUGCUUCUGUUAGAGUUUUGGCUGGAGGUAUGCUUGAUGUCAUUAUUCCCUUUAUUUCUUGAUAGCAGCUAUUGACUCUGCGUGUUUUUUAUUCUUAUUGACUAAUGUUUUUUAACGUGUUCAGAAAUAUAUCUUUAGCCGCUAGUGUUUAGUUUAACUGGAUUUCUAUUAAAUACGCUUGAUAUGAUUUUUGUCUUCCCAUUGCUUUACCUAGUAUGUAGAGGCCGAGUUCUUAGGUGUGUUGAUGUUUUGCCUCAGCUACAUGCAACUUUGAGUGGCUAUUUUUGAACAUUUGUGAUGAUAGUUGUGUAAGAGAAAAUGCCGGCCAUUAUGGUUUGACGUGUUUAUCAUACUAUACUUUUCAUUAUACUCUAUCUUUCUCUUAAUUAUGUUGUGUUACCAAUUGCCUCUCUUUUGAGCCUAAUUUGUUUGUGGACUUCAAUUUGUCUUGGAUCAAUAAAUCAGGCAAAACUCUUCCAAAAUAAACUGAUUUCUACAACGAGUUUAAGUGACAAUGUGUCUCCCCUAGAUUUAUUUUAAAGUGCAACAUGAUCUUUCUCCUUAAAAUUGGAAAUUCAAGGGUCAAUUCAUCAUUGCUCAUAUUAACGACAAACUCACUAUAAAAAAGCUUUUUCCUAAUAGUUUUGUCUUUGUUUUUUAUUUUCCUGCAGAGAGUGUGUUUUCAUUUUAUUUUAUGUUAAUAUUGAGUAGUUAUAUGAGACAAGAUAAGAUUAGGCAUGCAAUCAUUACAGAGAAAAUUAGUGCAGUUCUAUCUUUGUAGGAAAAACGGGAGAGUAUUAUUGUCUUAGGUGGUUUGGGAAUGAUUGGAAAAGACCCAUAGAAAAGUUUGUUAAGAUCGGGAUCUUGCAUAAGAUUGGGAGGGAAUAACAAGAUUGUAAAAUAUAAAAUCGUAGCUAAGAUCGAAAGGUCCUACUAAAAUGAAAAUAUAAUGUUAUAUGUUUAAAGUAUUUUUACAUGAUAUAUUUUAGAGGUAGAGGGAGAUCAAGAGAAACUAUAGGUCAAACCAUAGAAUGAGAUAUAGAGGUAAACGAUUUGUCUUUGAAUCAAUACAGAAAAGGCCAUUAUGGUGUUGCUUAAUCCACAUUGGCUAGAUUGUUUAUUUGUACUUCAUUUAAUUUUUGGGUUCAAUGAUUGAAGUUCUGAUGAAAAACUCGUGUCCCUGACAGAGGAGCUUCCAUCGUAUGUCGGUGCCGAUGAGAGGGUUGUGGAACUGCAGGGUGAAACUUUAAAGGUCCUUAAAGCUCUGGAAGCAGUAGUUGGGCACCUGAGGAAGUUUUUGGUUGAUCAUAGUGUUCUUCCCCUAUUCGAGAAAACGGUAAGUUUGAUAAUUAACCACUUUUUAUUUAAGUGUAAAAGCCAUCCUUUCUGAUUUUACUGUAUAUGUUCUUGACACUAAGAUAUGCAAAUCCUUUGUUUUUUGUUCAAGUCCAAUGCAACAAUCUCACAAGACCGCCAGAUAGAUGCCUGGGCAGAGAAACCAUCACUGCGUAGUGCUUCACAACCUAGCACUGUUGUUGAUAUUCCUCCUUCAACAAAAAGGGAUUAUUUCUUUGCUGACCGUGAAAGUCAACUGGAUUCAUUGCUCUCUUCCUCGACAAUGUCAUAUGGACAAGAUUCUUCAAUUUCUGGUCUUCGUUCUUCGGCAUUUAAUCGUGCCAGUGCUUCCAUUGUUACUACAGUAAGCAUUUUUAUACUUUUACCAACUGUUUAAAAAUAGUCAUGUAUUUGUGACAAAUAUUGUUGUACUUUUACCGAACUGUUCAAAAAAUAAUCAUGUAUUAUAAUUAUAUACCGAGUGUUUAUGCAAGGCAUUUUAUUUGUUUUACUUCGUGUCAUCCAAAUUUUAUACCCCGUGAUUCGUUUUGAUUUAUUAUUCCCCCCAUCAGGUAAUACAAACAAUGCAAAUACCACUUUCCUAUGCAGAGGACAUAAUUGGUGUUCAUGGGACUAAUAUUGAUUACAUCCGCCGUACUAGUGGUGCCAUAUUGACUGUGCAAGAGAGCAGAGUGCCAGAUGAAAUCAUUGUGGAAAUAAAAGGCACCUCCUCUGAAGUUCAAACAGCACAACAAUUGAUUCAGGUAGAAACUUGGGCAUAUGAAAAAGUUACAUUUUUUCUGUUGCUUUUCUGUUUACGAGUCGAUGUUCGAAAAAAUAGAUUAUCAAGUCAUUUUUGCUGAUGGAAAUGUGUUUCUCUGUUACAGGAAGUCAUAGCUAAUCACAACGAAACUAUGGCUAGUAGUUAUGGCAGGUUAGAUUCAGGACUGAGGUCUUCUUACUCCCACUUGAACAACUCUUCAUAUCCCUCAUCUUCGUUGCCAUCGCAAUCCUACAAUGGAUAUGGAUCUUCUGGUCUAGGGGACUAUAGUACUUUCAGACUUUAAACUGGUCUUAAACAAGGAAACAGUCUUGAGCCAAGUUGUCCCAGUUGGGUCUGAUUGGAGAGAAUUAAUGCUGGAAUGAAUUCUGUAUCAACAAAAAGCAUUUUUUUAUUGUAUCUGAUAUGUCAUCAUUUGAUGGUGUAGUUUUUAAAUGUGGUCAAUAGGUACAAUGCAAUAGAAAAUGUAAUGAAAUAUUAAGUUAUUAACCAUUUUUCUGGAUGUUCAGUUUGGUAGUGUACAUGUGCAUGGGUUUAAUGCUUAACCAUAAGACCCAUGGUGGUUUUGAAACUUGUAUUUUAUAUGUUUUGAAGUUUGCACAGCCAACUACUAUUUUAUAUCUAUGCUUAAAUUUCGACUGAGUCUGUUUAUUUUAUCGUCCAACUUUUUUCCUUCAAUGAUUAAAAGAAUGAUAAUACACUGGAGAUGAUCAAAGCACCAGGAGUGAUAGACAACUUUGAAAAGAACAAACAAAAAGAAAGACAAAAAUCUAAAAACAAUCAACCCACCUUGAUCUUAGAAGAGCAAUUUCAAGAAAAAAGAAUGGAUCUAUUUGCCACUUUGAAAGAACAAUCAUCAAAUAAAAAGAAUAACAAAAAUCUAAAAACAAUCAACCCACCCUAAUCUUAGAAGAGCAAUUUCAUGGAAUAGAAUGAGAAAUACAUGAUCUUAGAAGAGCAAUUUUACAUAAAAAGAAUGAAUAAAUUAAUCUUAUUCAUUGGUUCAUCUUGUUAAAAAAGAUAAUCAUUUUGCCAUUUUUAUAGAGUUCAUACUAUACGACUUAAAUCAAAGUCAAGUCCAAAGACAUUAUUCUUAUCCCCUAGAAAUCUAAACAACAUACAAGACUCCCUUGACAACAACACCUAAAAUUUCUACCACAACACUCUAGUUAGACAUGACAAAAUAGGUCCUAUCUAUUGGAUAUGUCCGUUUUACCUACAUUUUUUUUAAACGGAUCAAAGUUUUAGUCUCACAGUUUCUAAUAUGUGUGUUCCGGCUCACUCUAUUUUUACGCAGAUGUGUACGUUAAUAUAAAUUUUUGCAAUCUUUUGAUUAAAAAAUUUCAUUUUCUGGUGGGGUGGGUCAAAGUUUUAAACUCGCACCCACAAAAUGCUCGCCCUACCUGCCCCUUAUUUUUGUUGGCUUUUGCAAAAUAGAUAUGCAUGAUUGUUACCCCUAAUUACAUUCAUCACCUCAUAGAUAGGGCUCGGGCUUUAUAGGGCCUGGUCAAAAAAAAUCGCUAUCUUAAUAUGGAGGAAUUAACCUGCCACCCCCACAUGUUUUCAUAAUUUCCAAACCGUCUAUGAAAAAAUUUGAGUCAAAAGUACGAACGAAAUUUCCGGUACAAAUUUUUUAUGUAUUUUAUCAUAAAUUUCAAAAAGUAUUGAAAUUUAUCGAAAAUUUUAAAAUUUUCGAUAAUAUAAUUUUUUUUUGAAAUGGUGUACAAUUUUUUUUUGAAAUUUUCAGAUAUUUUUUUUUAAAAAUUCCGGUAUUUUCUAUCGAAAAUUUUAGAAAAAUUUAAUAUUUUCUCAAAAUUUCUGAUAAACACAAUAGAAAAUUCCUAAAAAAAAUUAAUAAAGACAUAAAAUGUAAUAGUAGUCACAAUAUGGGGGUGUUAAGUUUAACUAUGAGAGUGACCGGUUAAUUCCUCUUUAAUAUGAGAUCAAACUAUAUAUCUCGAGUCUAGUUCUAUACGAAUUGCACGCUACCCCAUUUCUUUCUUAUUUUUUUAUGAAAAAAUAAAAUAAAAAUCUCAUAAUAUUCAUUAUAAAUACAAAGUAUAUUAUUUUUUUAAAAAAAUUAAGUCCUAUAUUAUUUAAAAAAAUAAAUACUAUAGCAUGUUUUUAAAUAAAAUACAAAUAUAAAAUUGUUUAAAAUAAUACACAAGUAUUUAACAAAUAACACAAAUUAAUAAAUAUGAAGUGAAAUAUGAAAUAAUUAAAUGUUGAUUUAAUUAUAUUAAUGUAUAAAAUUAACAUAGAACAAUUGAAUAGAAUUGAAAAGGUAAAACUAAAUGUUUUUGAGUGAGAUAAUAUAACUAUUAAUAUAAUUUUUAAAAUAUAAUUAUGAGGGUGAAAUGGGUUACCUGUGGUCAUAUAUGCUAGUCUUAUUGGAUAGUAGAGUUCAUUAGGUUGGGAUAAAAGAGUCUUUACAAAUUUAAGCUAUACUUUUUAGGUCUAAGAUCUAUGUUUUAGUGUGUUUGGCGAAACAAUCCAUAUAAACUAAUCUAUUUUGACGAAUUAAUUCACAAGGAAAAAAACAUGUUUAGUUGACUCCAAUUGAUUAUGACAAAAAAAUACAUGAAAUGUAAUCAUGGUUAAUAAUCACCUCACGCUUAAUAAUAUUUUCUCCUGUCCUAUCUUAAAAGAGUUGCUAAGAGAAAAGGAACACCUUAUAAGGGACCCAACUCUUCUAAAUCAGAUGUAACAACUGAUUAACUUUAUUAGGAGUGGCAUAUUCCUAUGGAAAUUAUCCAAAAAUGUCAGAUAUGUCAACUUAACAUAAAAUAAUUCACAAGAAUCUUGUCCUAAUUCCAAGUAUCCACCUCCCGGGAAAGAGAAAUUGAUUCCACAAAAAGGAGAUAGCUCUAGUCAGAUCAGACUCUUAUACAAAAAGACUCAUUCUCCACCUAAAACCCCAAACUCAUGAGUUAUCUUCCAAUCCCGGUAGAGGCGUAAAGUUUGACUUUAUCUCGACCAUGGGAUUCUCAUCAUAGUCAUUUCUUUUAUGUGUCGGCAAUAUCUUUUGACAUGGACAACUCUUAACUCAAAGUAUGGAAGGGGACACGAGAUAACUCUUCCGUGUGGGGGAUCAAGAGAUGUCGGAUACUAUUUUUGCGUUAGUUGGUAAGGGAGGUCUAAACCGCACAUUUACUAAAGAUGAUCCCUCCUUAGGUUUGGGAGUGCUUCCUUUUGAAUAGGAUAAGAGGGGAUGCAUCAAGUACGAUGAGUGUGUCAUCCCUCUCCAUGAAUGCUUAUUCUCUGAUAGGUUUAUGUAUCCCCUUCAAUGAAUUUGAGGCUGACGUUCUAAAUCAUCUAGUAAUUUCUCUUUCACAACUACACCUAGCGAGUUGGACUUAUAUCAAAGUCUUCUCGUACUAAUACAAAUACAAGAAAGGUGUGUCGGCUCUGACACUCUUCUUCCACCUCUUUAAAGCCCAAUAAAGUUCUUUUGAUUUAGCUUGGGGUCAAGGUGUGGUCUCUCUUAGGCAGAGAUCCAAGAUGUUUGAGGUUUAUUCAGAGAAUGUGAAGAACUCCAAGGAACGAUGUUACAUAUUUAACACCCUUAGAGUUGUCUUUGAGUGAGGCUUGGGAAGGUUGGAAGAAAGUUGAAUAUGACCUUCAAGAGAUCACACAUCUUGAAAACCUUGCAUGAUCUAAAGAGUAAGCAAAGUUGGUGGAAUAGUUUUUCUCCAUUCUGCAAGUGUUUUGAAAACGUAUUAAAGCAGGUAGAAUAAUUUCAUCCCAGGGUGCGAAUUUUUCGAGAACAUAUUUGUUAUGAUCAAGAAAUGGUGAAUGGGAAGCCGGUCGAUGGAGAUGAGUCGUAUUCAUAGCCUCUUGUAUCCUUUUUUAUUUUGUAUGCUCUUACCCGAUGUAACUUUAUUGGAUAAAUAUGUGGAUUUAUGUGCUUGUAGGUAGGGGUGUUCGCGGUGCGGUUUGGGAGGUUUUUCCGAUAAAAAUCACCCGAACCGCAAGAGAAAAAAGCAUGUGGUUCAGUUUGUUUCGGUUGGCUUUUAGAAAUAAAACCAAACCAAACCAAACCAAAUCAAUGCGGUUUGGGUUGGUUCGGUUGGUUCGGUUUUUUAUAAUAUUUUUAUUGAGUCAUAUUUACUCCUAUAAAUAAUGACAUAACUUUGUGUUUAGUCAUUCAUACAUUACUAAAUAACAUCAAAAUUCAUCAUAUUUAGACAAAAAUGUUUCAUUCAAUAUACAAAAAAUCAGAUUAGACAAAAGUGGAAUAAAAGACAAAUAAACUUUGUGUUUAGUCAUUCAUACAUUACUAAAUAACAUCAAAAUUCAUCAUAUUUAGACAAAAAUGUUUCAUUCAAUAUACAAAAAAUCAGAUUAGACAAAAGUGGAAUAAAAGACAAAUAUAAAUAAUAGCAUAAAAUAAUAUCAAAGACAUUAUAAUAAAACAUAAAAAAAAAACAUAUGAGAUGAGAGAUUAGAGAAGAUGAAAAAAAGAACAUAAGAGAUGCGAGAUUGAGAAGAAAAGUGCAAUAAAAACAUAAUUGGAAGAGAACAUAGUAACAUAAAAGAUAAAAAAGAAAGAACAUAAUAAAGGACUUAUUAGAGUAGAAUAUGCGAGACCUACAUGGAAAAGAAGAUGAGAAGAAUGUGUGAUACUAUUAUGAGAUAUUUAAGAAGGUUGAAAUUGAAACCCUAAGUGUGAUUAAGAGAAAAUCGUUUGUAAUUGUAAGGUUAAGGCAUACUAGGUUUGAGGUUUGGGUUGGAUGUGUGAUAAGUGAAGUUUGGGUUGUAACAUAAUGCAGUUUGGUUUGGUUUAGUUCGGUUUGCAAAAUACAAACCGCAAACCAAACUAAACUAUGCGGUUUUAUUAAAAAAUGACCCAAACGAAUCUGAACCAGAUGCAGUUUUUUGCGGUUUCGGUUUGGUUUGGUUUGGUUUGCGGUUUUCUAUUGGGUUGGUUUGGUUUGGUUUGCGGUUUUCUAUUGGGUUGGUUUGGUUUUGAACACCCCUACUUGUAGGUAUAACGUUUGCUGCAAUUAAUUUACUUAUAUGUUUUUGAUGAUGACAACACCAUAAGAUGAAGUCUUCAUAUGAAGUGUUGAUCAAGUUUUUAUGCUUGUAGAUUAAGAUGUCAAAACCAGUCUCUUAAGGACUACACCUAAUCUAAAUAGGUGUUCGGUGGAAUCUCUGAUGAUCUUUAAUCAGACAAUCUCUCUGAUGAUAAUAUCUAUCAAGAAGCCUUAUCAAACCUCAUUAGAUAGAUCUCAAGUCAAGUUCUGAAUGAAGUGCUGAAUUGUUGAUGUAUCAAGCAAAGGAUAAUUAAGCUUCAUAGUUUUUGAAAGAGAGGAAGCGUGAAAGCUCAUUUGGUUCACGUCUGAGUGAUCAGAGUUUUGUAAAAGAUAUUAAAGUAGUUCUUAAACUACAAAGGCAAUACACACACUCAUCUAAAAGUGUUUUAACCAAUCUAUUUGAUUAAAAUCCUUAAAAACUUUAGAGGAACCGUCAAAGUUCUUGUGAGAUUGAUAAAGGGUGUUUCUAAAUAUUUAGGUGGCUUAUAUACAUUGCCCAAUUGAUUAAAAUCCUUAGCCAAUCAAUUAGAGCAAGGUUUAAAUCUUCCUAAUAGAUUAUGAACACUUCUAAUUAAUUAGGACAUUGACCUUUAUAUGGUUUCCUUUUUGGGAAUUAGGGUUUCCAUUUUUAUAAAGCACAUAUAAUUGAUUAGGUAUUUGGCAUAAUCGAUUAUGAGCAUUAAAAAACUCAUGUAUAGUUUUCCUUUUUGAGCCAAAUUUCUCUCCUAUAAAUAAAGGGCUCUCCUUACUUUCAAACUACACCAGAAAAUAUGUUUUAAUACUCUUUGGUACUUUCUACUUAUUUACUUAUCAUUUCUCUCAUUCAUUAAAUAUGUAUUAGUGCUUUAGGAGUGAAAAAUGUCAGUAAGGCAUUUUUUGUAUUCUAAUGCAGGGAUACUGUUAUAAUUUGUGCAAGAGAUUUUUCAUCUCUUGUGGAAUAUCUUUUGUGAGAAGUCCAUGUUUGAUUUGUGAUCUUAGGUAGUAAAAACACUCAUUUAGUUUGUAAGAUUGUCCUUUAAAACCUUCGUAUGGUCAGUGAGCUUCACCUGAUAUAAAAGCUCUCAUUUGGUUUGUGAUAUUGUCUAUUAAAAUCUCUAUAUUGUUUGUGAGAUUCUACUGAUAUAAAACUCUCAUUUGGUUUGUGAUAUUGUACGUCAAAAUCUUUGUUUGGUUCGUGAUUUGUGUUAGGUGUAAAAGCUCUCAUUUGGUUCGAGAUUAGCCUCGUAUAAAAUCUAGUGUUUGAUUUGGAGGAUAGCCAGUGUAAAACUCCAAGUUUAGUUGUAAGAAGGUUCGUCUCCAUAACUUAUAAAAAGCUCACACAUAUAGUGGAAACUCUCAUGAAGAAAUUCCUUGGGAGAGGAGUAGGUCAAGUGGUUAGAUUAAACCUCUAUAUCUCGUGCAAUCUUCUUAUCCCUCAUAUCUUUCUAUUUUUAUUAUUUACUAUUUUUGGUGCGCUCAAAUAGUUUUUCUACUAUGAUUUUAUUCUACUUAUUUAUUUCACUGCUUACUCUUAGUUUAAGUUAAAAAACUAUUUUAAGCAAUUGCUUUUGCCAAAAAAAAUUUAAUUGAAAAUUGUUUUUCAGAGAAACACAAUUCAACCUCAUCCCAUCUCUUAUGUUUGGAGUCACUUAUUCGAAAAAAUAAAUUCCAUGGCCCCUUCUUAUAUCUUACUUCAUUUACUUAGCGUUGUUUUUACCUUUUACGACGUUGUUUUGAGCCUUGAGUUCAUCUUUAUGAAAAUAGCUCAUUUUUCGAGGUCGUGCUUGAUGUUUUAUUGGAUGUCUCUAAUAAAUGUGCUCACCAAGGGUUUGCUCCUCUUCUUUUUCCCCAAUUUUAUACUUGGUCCAAGGCCGACAUAGUGAGGACUCACUACUUGAGCUCUAGAGUGUCUAGCUACCAUGGGGCGAGCCCUUAAUCACCAUUUUAUGGUGUGAUAUCUUUAUUCAUGUGAUUUUCGAUGUGGGUUUUUUAUUGCUUUAGUCGUGCGUUGCUCUGUUGUAUUUGCAACAUCACCUCUGAGUCGUUUGACGUGAGGUUUUAAUUACUUUGAUCGUACGCCUGUGGCAUUUGUGACAGAACUCCUGAUUCGUGGCUAUCCUUUAUGAUUACAAGGAAGAAAAUAUAAUGAAACUUUAUUCAUUGAUAUUGAAAAAAGGUAUUACAUUAUAAUAAAAUGUGUUCUUUACACAUAUGAUAAAAGGGAAAUUUAACCAAGAGGUGUGAGUGUUGCUUAUUUUCUUUCGGGUGUACUUUUAUGGUGUGCCAUGGUCGUCCUUAAUCUUUAUUCAGAUUCGUCCCCUGCAUCUGUCAAGUUAAAAUUAUUUGCAUCAUACCUCCUAGGAUCCCUGGUCCUUUAUUUUAGGGGUUUGAUCACCAUUUAUUUUAACUGUUUGAUGAGGAAGGUCACGUUGAUAUCUGCCACCUUCUCUUUGUCUUUCCUCUUCUAGUCGUGUUGCAACAUUUUAUGUAUCCUUCAUGAUCUGGACAAGUCGGCGCACAUUGUCACCAACACUUCAUGAACAUUGUGAUAUUUCAAUUUGAGGUGGACCAGGGAGGCCAUCACGUACAUCAUUGUCGUGAAUGGUUUACCCAAGAUGUAGUUAUAGACACUCCUGUAGAGAAUUACUAGUAAUUGUAGGUUAAUCGUCCUGGUGUUCCUCCCUCCUAUUAAAGUAACCAUAAACUUAAUAUACCCCCAUGAGCGAGCUACCAUGUCGUUAAAGGCUUGUGGGUCAAAUCCCUCGUAUGGACAUAACUUAUCCCUUCUCAGUCCAAGUUUUUUGAAAAGCUCUGCAUACAUAAUGUUCAAAGAUCCCCCUAUCAAUGAGGAUCUUAGAUACGUUAAAAGGGGUCAUGGUUUCCGUUAUAACCAAGGGGGAAAAUCACGUUUGGGAUUCUUGCCUACCUUUUCACUAUCCCGAAAUCCGAGGACAAGCCUUUCCAAUUUCUCGUCAAGAGUUGUUUCUCAUUCUUUUGUGAGUUCCAUUAACUUGAUGAUCCUUAUCUUCACAAUCCCAUUGUAAGGUUUUUUUUAUGGUAAUGCUUCCAUCAAUGGAAACGAUAUAGUGUUGUUUCCCUAUUUUAUCUUUUUUUUCCUUUGCUACUAUCUUUAUUUCUCUUCGAUCUAGUCAUGAACUCGAUAGUUUUCUUGGGGGAUGCUUUCUUCAGGAGAGGGGGUCGUUUAUUCUUUGACAACUCAUCCCAUGCUCUAUGAUCUCUCUUUCGGUCCCAUAUGUCUCUUCGGGCUAUUUUCUAUGUAUACCCGACGAGUCACUUCUUUUUUCCCAACUCUUCAAUUACAUCAUUCAGAUGGAUGCAUUCGUUAGUGUUGUGGUCUUUUGCUGAAAUGACAUUAUUUUAACUUAUUUUUCCUAUCUAACUUUCUCACAUGAUAGAAUUUCUUGAUCCCCUCUUAUUUUAAUUUGUUAUUUGUGCAUUCUCGCUAGAGUUUCUUCCUUUAUGUGUUCAAAUGAGUGUAUGUAGAAAAUUUAGCUCGAGGUCCUCAGUGUUCAUCGCCUUUACGAUGAUUAUUGUCUUUUUCUGGCGCUCAUCCAUAUCCGAGGUUUCUCGUUCCCUGUUUAUUCUCUCCAGCUAAGAGUUCUUCCUUGUAGUUGAUAUAAGGUUAGGCUCUACCCAGCAGGUCACUUAAACUACAAGCUCCUUCCAAUCCUAGUUUUUCCUAGAACAUGCAAUCUGACCUUGGUCGCCUUUUGAAUAUCCAACAUUUUAAUCCAUCAUUCGUACCUCAUACUUCCACAACUACCUUGUUAAAUCAAUCGAUGUACUCCUACAAUGUAUUUUACUUCUUUUGUGUGAUCCUACUGAGUACAACCACAAAUGUGGAUUUCCGCUUUCGAGAGGUAAAAUAAGUAAGGAAAGAGUCACAUUGUUCCUUCCAUGAAUCUAUGCUCAUAUCUAGUAGGGUUUUAAACCAUAUCAUAAAAGUUUACUUAAGGGUCAAUGCAAAGAGCUUGCAUUUCAAAACACCUUGGGCGAGGUAAUAAUCCAAUCUAUUGUCCAUAUUUUGAAUUUUUUAUUUGGAUACCAUGUAUCGUUGUAACUUUCUAGCUUUGGGAGCUUCUCAAAGGACCUCAGGAUCCUACUGCCAAGAAUGCAUAAGGAGAACGUGUUCCUAUUUUGCUCAGAGGUCGAUGUAUCUGUGUCACGAAUUUCUCCACUCCGAUAAUGGUGUUUUAGUGAGCGAGCUAAGAUGACAACGAACCUAGGUGGAGUAUGAGUGUUAAUUCUCCCUCGGAGUCGGGUGAAGGGGUAUGAUGUCCUAUAUUCCAAUUACGACCUUUUGAUCUUGUGAUUUCUUGAUGUAGUAAAGAUUCAUCUAUUUGAUUUAACUGGAGAAUGACUCAUUCGUUGUUGUGCAAAGCUGCCUCGUGCAUGGUUUGGUUCUUAGAAAAUCCCCUAGUAGGUUCAUUUCAAUCCUAAGUUUCUUGUCUGCUAAGGCUUAAAAAAUUUAUGGUUGUACUAAAUUAUAGACAAUCUUCAGUAGGUCGAAGACCCCUUGCAUUCCUAUGUUAGCUUGCAAUUGUCGAAUAUUUAUGAGCAUCCCUUAUCCAAGUAUUGACGAUUGCGAUGGAGGUUGCUUCAAAGCUUGGUCUUGGCAAAGUUAUUACAGAGGUUGGAAAAACUGAAGGGCUUGGAAUGUUCCCCACUCAACUCUCAGAGGAAUAAAAUCUUGUUGCACAUGAACAAACAUAGAGGUCACUAGAAUUAGAUCAUCUUCUACUUGAGGAGGAUGUGGAGCCUUGUUAACUUCAAUAGUCAUCAAAGUGCCAUGAUUUUGAGCGCAUGGUCUAGUAAUCUUUGAUGUCACCAUGGUUUUGCAUAUUUGAUAUAUGGUUUGUUCGAGAAAGAGAUUAAUGCGUCAUGAAAAGAAGAUCGAUGAUCUGAAUCUUCAGUGAAGCCACAAUGAUUUUUUCGUUGAAAAAGGGCAUGCAUAAGCGGCUAACUACGCCACUAUUAUGUUUAGGAACUAGAGAUAUCUGAUGAAGUGAUGGAAUGAAGCUCACUUACAAUGGAUCAGUCUUCUAAUGUGAUAGAUUAGACUUAUAACACAACGGAUAAUGGGGUUUACCUACAAGGUAAGCACCCAAACGCCUAAGAUAGUUAAUGCGUGAAAAAUAGGUUUAGAGUGAGAAUGAAUUGAGUACUUGAAAUGACGUGAACUAGUCUUUAUAUAGUAUGGGCAAUUAAAAUCCCUUGCACGGAUUCGAGGCCUUUUAUGAAUUAUCGUUCUAUUAGAUCCAACAAUGAGAGAUGUGAUGGAGAGCGUGAUCGUGUAUCCUUGACAGGAGCGAGGGUCUACCUUUUUCAUGCACCUUCUUCUCUAACAAUCAUUAUUGGACAUGCUUUAUGGGCCUUGUAGGAAAGUGUUUUAAAAAUAGGAUCGGACAGGCCGGUCAAAUUAGGAAUCAGAGGAGUUGGUUGUCUGGUGUGAUUGUUGGAUCAGGUAAGCUAUUGAACCAGUGAGAACCGAUCAGAAUCAGAUAAAAUCGAGAAAAAAAAUGACGAACGGGUGGUUUUAGAAAAUCAUUAAGUUAAAUGCUUGUGUUUUUUUUCUCAUACAAAACGACAUGAUUUUGAUAAUUUAAAAAAGAUCAUAAAACUAAAAUAUAAGUAAAAUUUAUUCAAAUCUUAUUUCGAACAACUUUCUCUCCUUAGAAUUAAAUUUAUUAGUUUAUCUUGCAAUUAAAUUUUGUUCAAAAUUUAUUUGGAUUUGUAUUUUGUACUAUUUAAUGACUAUGUUUAAAAUUUGAAUAUAAAAAAUGAAUUUGUAAAAUUACGACCUUUUAAAAAUUUAAAAAUUGUGUAGGUGUCAUGAUUUGUUUUAAAGAUAGAUCAUCUAAUUUGAUAAGUUUAACAACUAUAUAGUCUUGUUAUAUAGAAAUUAAUUUAUUCAACUGAAUCAUCUAAUUAAUCGGAUUUAAUUAUGUGGUUUGAUGAUAUCCAAUUGUUCGGUCAAUAAACCAAUAAUUCAAUGUUCCCAUAACUUUGAUAACUAAUCUGAUUUUUAAAGCGGUUAGAACAAUUAACAAUUAAUAUCAAAAUUAAAAUUUAUUGUGAAAAGAAAAUAUUAAUAUUAAAGUGUAUAUUUUUUUAGGAGAGAUUAUUCUUAUUAUUUAAAAACAAGUCUUUCCCUUAAAAAAAUAGCGAGGUGCAAUAACACAAGGCAAGUCAUUUGUCAAAAUAAAAUAAAAUAAAAUAACUAUAAAAAAUUGGGUUUUACUUUAAGCGAUUUUCACUGAUUUAAGUGGUUUUUUUUACCCAAAUAACCCACUUUUUCAAGGAAAUUCCCAAAAUACCCCUAGUUUCAAAAAAAAUCCCAAAAUACCCCACUUUUAGGAGGAGUCGCCAAUUGAAUUGGAGACUCCUCUUAAAACUUAAAAUAACCCACUUUUUCAAGGAAAUUCCCAAAAUACCCCUAGUUUCAAAAAAAAUCCCAAAAUACCCCACUUUUAGGAGGAGUCGCCAAUUGAAUUGGAGACUCCUCUUAAAACUUGAAUGGAGGCGUCAAUUGGAUUGGCUAGGGCAGGUGCCCUAGCCAAUCCAAUGGGCUCCUAUGUGUAGGUUUUAAGAGGAGUCGCCAAUUCAAUUGGAGACUCCUCCUAAAAUACAUUUUUUUGUGUUUUAUGGUAUAAGUGAAAGAUAAAUUUGAUAUAAUACGAAUUGAUAUUAAUAAAGUUUGGAGUUUACACAAAGAAACCUAAUGGUGAUGACCGGGAUCACCUAACCGACCUCCGGUCCCACAUCCUCUAGCUACCAUAACCCUUGGCCCUAACCGACGUUGACGAUUCUGCACCGGUGUUUGAUCAUCUGAGGGGCCAGGAGCGUCACUACCAACUACAGGAGAAGGUCUGUUGAGGUAUUCAGACUAGUCAGCAUAGUCUUUAGUAUGCAUUGAUGGUGUACCGCCGUAGCUGAGCUCAUGACCCAUGCCAGAGAAGUUGGGAUGUGGUUGACUCAUGGAUGGGCGAUCGAGACGGUUGAAGGGAGACAUGGGUGUGAAUGAUGCGUCGAGGAAAGGUUGGAAAGGUUGUUGGGGUGUUUAGUAGAGAUAGGAUUGUUGGAUGUUUUGGUUUUGUGAUGUUUGGGCUUCUUGGCUACGGUAGGAGGAGGGGUGGUUGGUGUUUUGGCUAAGGCGACUUUGGUAGGGUGAUGGUGUGGGUGUGAAGCGAUGUUGGGUCUCAGGUUGAUGGUCAAUUUGUUGGUGGUGGUAUGGGGUAUGCUCUUGGUAUUGGAGUUGGGUGAAUGGCAUGUUUUGGUUGUAUGUUUGUGUGUUUGUGGAACGGAAAGUUUGACGGAUAGGAGGUUGUGAGUAACCGGGCUGAGAAUGUUGUUGGGGGUUAGAUGUUGAUCCUUCUUGUGUGUAACUUGCCUGGCGUGGGUCGUAUAGGUACAUAUCUUCGGCGAUGAACUGAAAACCAACCGAUCUGUACCAAGCCAUAUAAGUACGACUUGGUUUUACCUCANNNNNNNNNNNNNNNNNNNNNNNNNNNNNNNNNNNNNNNNNNNNNNNNNNNNNNNNNNNNNNNNNNNNNNNNNNNNNNNNNNNNNNNNNNNNNNNNNNNNNNNNNNNNNNNNNNNNNNNNNNNNNNNNNNNNNNNNNNNNNNNNNNNNNNNNNNNNNNNNNNNNNNNNNNNNNNNNNNNNNNNNNNNNNNNNNNNNNNNNNNNNNNNNNNNNNNNNNNNNNNNNNNNNNNNNNNNNNNNNNNNNNNNNNNNNNNNNNNNNNNNNNNNNNNNNNNNNNNNNNNNNNNNNNNNNNNNNNNNNNNNNNNNNNNNNNNNNNNNNNNNNNNNNNNNNNNNNNNNNNNNNNNNNNNNNNNNNNNNNNNNNNNNNNNNNNNNNNNNNNNNNNNNNNNNNNNNNNNNNNNNNNNNNNNNNNNNNNNNNNNNNNNNNNNNNNNNNNNNNNNNNNNNNNNNNNNNNNNNNNNNNNNUCUUGGUAUUGGGGUUGGGUGAAUGGCAUGUUUUGGUUGUAUGUUUGUGUGUUUGUGGAACGGAAAGUUUGACGGAUAGGGGGUUGUGAGUAACCGGGCUGAGAAUGUUGUUGGGGGUUAGAUGUUGAUCCUUCUUGUGUGUAACUUGCCUGGCGUGGGUCGUAUAGGUACAUAUCUUCGGCGAUGAACUGAAAACCAACCGAUCUGUACCAAGCCAUAUAAGUACGACUUGGUUUUACCUCAGUUGGCAUGACUGCGUCAGUUAAGACAUGGUCAUGACGGUGCUUCCACUUACGACACUCCGAUCUGACGAAGUUUUGCCAUGGGUUGAAGUUCCAUUGGUUGUUAACUUUACGCAAAUGCCAUUCUCCUAGGCUAGCUGGGGGAUCUGGGAUAUUCUGGACCAUACCGAACUGCAGCUCCACACGAUCGGUGUUGUGCAUCUCCACAGUUGUGAACCGUAUUAUCGGUGUGCAUGCUGUCCAUACGGUUGCGUCUUCAGCGUUGACCUCAUGGUCAUGAUCCAAAUUAAGGUAUGGACGCCAAAUGAACUGAAAUGUUAAAGAAGAUAGGAUUAUAAUGAAUGUAGAAAAAGUUAACAAAAUAUAACGAAAUAAUUAAGUUAUUUUGCUUACGUCUGUCGGUCGAAGGUGAUCCAACAGGUUGCGAUACUGAGUAAUACAGUGUCUCAGACAUCUGUUGUAACUCAUACCAUGUGCCGACCAUCUACACCAAAAAUUUAAAAAAAAAUUAGUUUGAGGUAAUAAACUUUAAGGAAGUAAGUAAAGAUAUAGAAAUUUAAACAACUUACUUUUGUGCAUAUGGAAAUGUGAAAGGGUUGUUAUUGACCGGUGCUAGAGACGGUAGUCUUGACCAACCCCAUGCUUGUAGAAAAACAGCACAUCCAGAAAAUGUAGAUGUAUCUUUGUGGGAGUUUUUGCACAACGAGCUAUAGAGAUAGGCUAGACAAGCAGGUCCCCAACUGUAACUUCCUAUUCUAUCUACAUGUCUAAGUAGAGGUAAGUACAUAAUAUGCAUGCUAGAACCACUACCUUCGAGAAAAUAAAAAGGAUCCUAUUAACAACAUAAUGUAACACCUAGUUUUUAUUAUUCGAGCAUCUUCGGUAGAAUGCUCAUCUAAGUAUAAACUAUUAUAAUAUGACUUUAGGCGUGAGAGUAGUAUACCUUGACCUCUAGCAUUAUCAUCUAACAAAUCAGUGUCUAAGAGCUUCAUGCAAAUUGAAUUUGCAUAGUUGGUCUUACCAUUAACAACCUUGCCUUCAAUUGGUAGUCUUAAAAGCAUGUAGACGUCUUCUAACGUCACUGUACACUCACCGGUUGGGAACCAAAAUGUGUGUGUCUCUGGUCUCCAUCUUUCGCAUAAGGCUAGAAUGAAUUUGUUAUCUAUAGACCAAGACAAAAUCUUGCUAAUAUGACCAAAACCGGCGAGUUCAACAUAAGGUUGAAUCAUCGGGUCCAUAUGGACAUAUUCGUGGACCCGAGUUCGAAACCUUGAUACAUCCUAUAAAAGAAAGAAUAAAACACUUGACUAAGUUGGUAUGUCAAAAUAAAAUGGGGUUGGUGAAGAUGAAAGAUAAAAAGUUAACAAAAGAAAAAACUUACAUAUGUUGCGAUGUUUGCAACCGUUCCUCUAUGUGCUUCGCCCAUUGUGAGUAAAGACAUUUUGUUGGGGGGUUGGUGUAGAUGAAACUAGAAGAUGUUGUUGAAGAUGAAAUUGUAAAAGAAGUAUUGUAGAGGAAGUAGUGAGAGUGAUGGUGUGGAAGAAGUGUUGAUGAAAUGGAUGUAUUUAUAGGCAAAUGGAUGGGAGCAUGAAAAGUUGUGCUUGCAUGGUGUCUCCACAUGAAUUGGCGACCAUGUACAAGCUUUAAGAGGGGUCGCCAUUCAAAUUGGCGCCUCCAUAGGGACAUGCAUGCAAGACCUAGGUCUGAAUGCUUGGUUUCGAGGUCUGAAUGCAUGGUGUCUCCACUUGAAUUGGCGACCAUGUACAAGGAAUAAGUGGAGGCGCCAAUCCAUUUGGAGUGUGUGUCUGCAUGUCUGACACGUGGCUGUCUUGUCUCCUGCAUGCUGAACAAGUCACUUCUUGAUAGCUUGCAUGGUUGACACAUCAUCUCAGACUAUCUUGCAUGUCUGACACAUCAUCUCAGACUAGCUUGCAUGUCCGACACGUCAUCUCAGACUAUCUUGCAUGUCCGACACGUCACUCCGAACUAGCUAGCAUGUGAGACACUUCACUCAUCUAUUUAAGUGUCUUACUAUCAACAUCCAAGACACUUCACUCACAUUCAUCUGCAGUAAGAAAAUAGUUUUCAUCUGCACAAUGUCAUCUUCAUCAUUAUACAGUGUCAACGUUCACUGCAACGGUGAAACAUUUGAGUCUGAGCUUCAUGGUUUUUGUUUUCGAAACACUGAUACCAUUAGAAUCACGAUCAAGAGAAAUGCAACCUUCUUGCAUUUGAAAAAAAGAAUACAAUCCUUUAUAGGAUCGGGUAUUGUGUCAAAGAUCACAUAUCAAAAUCCAAUAUUUUUUGAGAAUGGUCAAUGCAAGUAUUUCCCCCUUAAGGUACGAGACGAUGAAGAUGUUGAAUACAUGUUUGUUAGUCAUGAACAUUCAGGCUGCAACUGUAUUGAGUUGUACAUUACUCUUCAACCAUGUAUACCAUCUCAACAGUCUCAACUAACCGGUCAGGAUGAAUCUGGUGAAGAUGAUCGACAAUGGUCAGAUGACGUCAACCCAGAAGCAGAGGCAGAAGUGGAUGUCGUUGAUGAAGAAGAAGAGGAGACCGAGAUACAGGUUGAUCACAUGCUGAACAACGACGAUGAAGAUGAUGAUCAACCACCACCAAUACCUCCUAGUCAUGUCUACAAUCCGCCUCAACAUAUGACAAAUAUGGAUCUUCACGACGAUGAAACAUCCAACAGUGUUUUCUAUAAUCCGUAUCCGAGAUCAGAAGGCGAAUUAAAGGUGGGAGACAUGUUUCGUACCAAAGAAGAAUGUGUUCUGGCAAUCAAAAAAUUCCACAUGAACAACUCUGCUGACUUUACAGUGAAACGCACUGAUUCUAGAAGGUAUGUUAUCGAAUGUCGUAACAUGCUUUGUAAGUUUCGUUUGGCUGCAUCUUACAAGAAGAAAAAUGACUCUUGGGAGAUCGCUUCAAUAGACCCACCGCACAGUUGCAUUGCAACUAACGUUGAACAAGAUCACCGUAAACUAAGCGCAACUUUGAUAUGUCAAGACAUUCUGCCGUUGGUUAAUAAAGACCCAUCAGUGAAGGUGAGUAUAAUUAUAUCCCAUAUCCGAACAACAUAUAAUUAUACUCCAUCUUACAAGAAAGCAUGGAUUGCGAGGACAAAGGCUGUUGAACAGGUUUUCGGCAACUGGGAGGAUUCAUUCAAGGAAUUACCACGGUUUUUAUGGGCACUAAAAACAUAUGUCCCAGGAACUGUGGCAAUUAUGGAGACAGUGCCAGCAAUGAUGCCAGACGGAACCUGUGCUACAGGUAAUAGAAUAUUUCACCGUCUCUUUUGGGCAUUUGACCCGUGCAUCAAAGGUUUCGCAUUCUGCAAACCUAUUAUUCAAAUUGAUGGCACUUGGUUAUACGGAAAAUACAAGGGUACUUUGCUCAUGGCGGUUGCACAAGACGGCAACAACAAUGUCUUUCCCAUUGCCUUUGCUCUUGUUGAAGGUGAAACGGCUGGUGGAUGGGGUUUCUUUCUUCGACAUCUCAGAACGCAUGUCGCUCCACAAGCCAAUCUAUGUUUGAUUUCUGAUAGACAUGCUGCCAUUGAAAGUGCCUACAACAACCAUGACAACGGAUGACAUGAUCCUCCUUCUACACAUGUCUACUGUAUCAGACACAUUGCACAAAACUUCAUGCGUGCUAUAAAAGAUAAGAAUCUUCGCAAGAAGGUGGUGAAUGCUGGGUAUGCUUUAACUCAACCGUCUUUUCAAUAUUAUCGUGAUGAGAUUCGUCUGUCUAAUGAAGACGCGGGGAGAUGGAUAAAUAACAUCCCAGUAGAGCAGUGGACAAGAGCAUUUGACGGUGGUUGUCGAUGGGGCCACAUGACAACAAACAUUGUGGAAUGCAUGAACGGGGUUUUCAAAGGAAUUCGAAAUCUGCCGAUAACCGCCUUGGUAAGAUCAACCUAUUAUAGGUUGGCUUCUAUGUUCGCAACCAGAGGUGAAAGAUGGAGUGCAGUGUUAAUGUCCGGACAAGUAUUCAGUGAGUGUUGCAUGAAGGUCAUGAAAGAGGAGAGCAUCAAAGCUACCACACACGCUGUAACAGUCUUUGACCGUCAUAGACAAAAUUUCAGCGUCCAGGAAACAAUGGGCAACAACGAGGGGAGACCAAAUUUAGCCUACGCUGUUAGACUACACAGAAGUUGGUGCGAUUGUGGAAAAUUUCAGGCCUUCCGCAUACCUUGCUCCCAUGUCAUUGCAGCAUGCGCUUAUACUCGUCAAGACGCUUACACCCAUUUAUCUGAUGUGUACAAGGCCAACACCAUCAUGAAUGUAUAUACUCAAAGCUUCUCAGUACUACCAAUGGAGGAUUACUGGCCUCCAUAUGAAGGAGAUAUUGUUUGGCACAAUGACGAGAUGCGUAGAAAGAAGAAAGGAAUGCCAAACAACACACGUAUAAGAACAAAGAUGGAUUCCACAGAUAAAAUGAUAAGAUUAUGUAGUAUCUGUCGUCAACCAGGACACAACAAAAACAACUGCCCCAAUCGAGGAGCAUCAUCUAGGUCUUAAGCUUUUUGUAACAUUGUAUUUCUGUAACAUUCAAUCAUUAUAUAUCAUUAAGUUCUUGUUACAACGAGGUUCACAACAAACAUCACUACAAAACAUCUGAAAAUAUAAAUAUUUCUAACUGAUUACAAUAAUCAAAUUGAUGUCGUCUCGACCGAACAUCAUUUCCCUAGCAUCCUUAUCAGUCUUCAUUCGCACCCAAUCAAAGAUAUUGUCAAGUCUCUCAAUACUUCUGAUUUUUUCCCCUUCUGGUAUUUUCCCAUCUAACCAACGAACCAGCUCCCUCUAGUCAACUAGCUUGCACCACUACAAGGUUUUGUCGUAGUCGUAUUGAGGUUUGUCUCUCGCAUAAAUCACCUUUCCGUAUCGGCGACGAACACCAAACAUGAUAGCCAAAUGAUUAUAUGAGAUGUGAAACAAUUGGUCACACAACGCAUCUAUUUAUAAGACAAAAAAUGCAUUUUAUGAGGAGUCUCCAAUUGAAUUGGCAACUCCUCUUAAAACCUGCACAUAGGCGCCAAUUGGAUUGGCUAGGGCGUCCAUUCAAGUUUUAAGAGGAGUCGUCAAUUCAAUUGGAGACUCCUCCUAAAAGUGGGAUAUUUUGGGAUUUUUUUUAAAUCAGGGAUAUUUUGGGAAUUUCCUUGAAAAACUGGGUUAUUUUUGUAAAAAAAACCGAUUUAAGUGAAUUAGUGGUCAUAGUUUUGAAUUUUAAUUCAAUCCAUCAAGCAUAGUUUAUCUACUUAUAUAAAGUUUUGUGUCACUAUUUAAUAAUCCUUUUCAAAACAGUUUAUAUCAUUUUUCUUAAAUUUUUUUGAAUAUAUUUUUAUACAUUCUCCAAGAUAUCAUAGGAAUCAGCUUAGAACAUAGAUAAAAACAAUUUAUAUUUAUUUUAUCUUUUGUUCUAUAAGUUCUUAUUUUGACAAGUGUUUGUGUGAUAAGCUUCCAUUUAUCCAAACAAGCCCUAAUAGGGCACUUUGAUUUUCAAAAAAUAUUGAACAUAGCCUAAAUUAUCUUUAACUUGUAAUAUCAAAAUUUACAAUUUUUCAUUGAAAUUGGUAUAAAAUAUUGGAGACCAAAUACCAAAAUAAACCAAACAAAAAAUAUUGGUGUACGAAGAGACACCUUAUCCUCCUGAAGGUCUUGUUCUAUCCGUUGAUAACUGCAACAACAACACCGCAAUGCCCACUUUGAACCUCUUCACCAACAUUCCUGUGGACCCUGUUAUUGCUUCAGACAUUCUCAGAGAUGCCACCAAAGCUGUUGCAAAGAUCAUUGGAAAACCCGAAUCCGUUGAGUACAUUUUUAGACAUUCUUCAUUCUUGACCACCAGUUGUUUGAUGAAAUUACUCUGUAGAUGACAAUACUUUAUCAAACCCUUGAUGGUCUUAAUGCCAGCAACACUCAAUUGUAGUUUUAUCUAUCAACUUUAUUUAGUUCAAUUUGACUUAAAUUUGUGUUUUUUUUUGGAUUGUGUUUCAGUAUGUGAUGAUUUUGUUGAAUGGUGGAGUGCCUAUUGCAUUUGGUGGGACUGAAGAGCCUGCUGCCUAUGGAGAAUUGGUAUCAAUUGGGGGUCUUGGUCCAACUGUUAAUGGAAAAUUGAGUUCUACUAUUGCCGAAAUUAUUCAAACUAAGCUGUACAUUGAUAGCUCCAGAUUCUACAUCAAGUUUUAUGAUGUGGAGGUAAAUUUCUGUUCUUUUUUCUGUUUUUAACUGGCAUCUGGUAUAUUCGUUCUAUUCAAUUAUGAUUCUCAGUUACCUUACUUUAUCUAGUUAUGCGUGGUACUCUAUUUCAUGUAUUAUUCUCAUUAAGUAUUUGGAUAAUAGGAUAAAAUCAAUAAUAUGGCUUGAGAGACUGUACUUGAUAGGUUGUGAGAACAUUGUGCCUGAGGAUUAUUUCACCCCAAAGGUGAAUAUUUUGGGUGCCAAAAUUUAUCGGCUUUUUGGAAAUUAUUCCAGAUAUAUGAAGCAACAAUGGAUGUUGUUAUUUUUGUGACUGGUAACUCCUUUGUUAGUUGGUUAGGUUGGAGUGUGAUGUUAUGCAUAUAAAUACGAGGAGAGAAUUAUGGGAAGAUUGGUUUUUGAUGGGGAGCAGAUUCUACGGUGUAUCAGUCCGGUGUUGCAGUUCCGUUUGGUCUGUUGUAGUGUAUAUCAGAUUUUUUCUGCUAAAUCAGCCCUGGCUCUCCUGUCAUGGGGUGGUUUAUGUUUUAGCUUUUCUUAGUUUUGGUCGUUGUGAUGUAUGCCUUUUCGAAUGGUUUGGUAAUGGGAUUGUUUCUGUUAUGGAUUUGUGUCGAUCUGCAGCUUUGCGGCCUGUUUUUUCAGUCCAUUUGUACUCUUACUCUAAUUUCCUUCUUGUGCACAUCUUGUCUAGUGAAUCCAAUUAAUAUAUUUUGAUGUUAAAAAAAUGUGUAUAAAUAGGAGGAAGGGAUUAGAGUGAGGUAGCUUGUCAUUUUGAUUGAGUUGGCGGCGCAGACCCUUGAAGCUCUGCAACAUUGUAAUCCAAGAAGCUUCCUUAUUCUUUUGUAAUGAGAUACUAGUUCCCAUCACAUUUUGUGGAAAUAGUUCUCAACAUAUAGUGAUCUGUAUCAUGAUUUAUGUAUUUUCACUAUCAUUUUGAAUUUACUGAAGUAUCUUUUACAAGAUAUAUUUUAUUAUUUCAUUGCUGACAUUCUAGAUCUCAUUUUAUUUGUUGUGGUGCAGCGCUCUUUUUUUGGGUUCAAUGGCUCAACCUUCUGAUCAGAGGUAUUUCAAGUCAAAGAUUUGAGCAGCUUCACAAGGAAGAAAUCUAUUUCAUCUUUCUGUGGAUCAUUACAAAUUUGUAUGUUGGUGAACAAACACAUUUGAUAUAUAAAAAUGUAUCCUUCUCAGUCCCCUCAUUUUGGUCUGUUCAAGAAUCAUUUAAUUUAUUGUUCUUCUUGUUGGACCUGAAUCUCAGUAACAGAUUAUAUAAAACAGAUAGAAGUUAUUUAGAUUUUAAAGAGAAAGCUAGCAAUCAAUAAACACUUGAGUGACACUCCAACUAAAAAGAUAGCAAGUAAUGUUAUGCGUGAAGGAUGCCUCAUGAAAUUUUCUCACAGUUUUCUCUCACAGUUCAUGAUUAUUUUACAAAUCAAGCAUUGAUAAAAAAAAGUUCUAUUCUAUCUCAGUCCGCAUUUUUUUAAUUAACGUGAAUGAUCUUACUAAGAUGAGUUUGUGGCAUGUAAUAAGCAUCUCACCUAAGUGUGUUUGUUUAAUAAAAAACUAUUUUGUGAAAUUGAUUUUACUCAAAAUUGGAUUGAAUAUAGUAGGACAUAAUUGAAAGUAUUAGUGUAAAAUUAAGUUGAACAAUAAACUUAAACACAACAAUCUAUUUCAAAUUAGAAUGAAUUUUUAAAGCUAUAUAUCAAUUGCGAUUGACACUACCAGAUCGUCUGAUUAUGAUCGUUUUUCAACUUAACGGAUACAUUAUGUUCACCAAAAUCCAAGGAGAGAUUAAUUAAAUGAAAAUAACUAUAUCCAAAAAACUGACCUCUAAACUAAAGUUGAUUCAAAGGAAAGAAAUGUAAUUUUAUUAGGAAUGAAACUCUACCUACAAAAUUCCACAAUAAGAAUAUAUGAUAAUAAAUUUAUUCUUUACACUGAAAAUUGGAGUAAAUCUGUAAAUGUAUCCAUACAGAACAGUAUAGCACAAGUGCUGCAGCUACAUUUGAAAGCUAGCUUUGUAAAUCAUUUUACAAAUGGAGUGCUUAAAAUUACAGCAUCAUCCCCAAAUCACCAUCCAUAUUUCGCUUGUGUUUCAGCUUUGGUAAGCAUGCCCUUGGAACGGCGCUCGGCGAGUUUCAUUUCAUUUUGUUUCAUAUCAAAGUACAAUGAACCAAUUUGAUGCUUCCUCUUCAUUAGCUUUGAAGGCUUUCCCUUUGCUGAAACAGGCUAUAAAAGGAAAGAAAACUGAUCAAUACAAAAUAGUAAUCAUAGUAGCAUACUUCACACCAAAAGUGGAUGGAGAAAAUAUGGUUGGAAGGGAGAUUCCACUAAAAGUGGAUACUACACACCAAAAAACACAGUUUCAAAAAAAAAUGGAGAAUACACAAAAAACAGUUGCAAAAAAAAAGGACUUCAGAUUUUGUCUGUGAAAAAUAAAUGAUUUAUCUUUUUGGGGCACCAGUAAAAUUAACUUUUUUUCUGUGCCUCCAAUUGCAAAAAUGGUGUAACAUGAACUAUGAUUUAUGGUUGUCACACAGUACUUUUUCCAUACAUAUGGACCCAAAAUCAAACUCAAGAACACAUGCUUAUAAUAUCUCAGCUAAGCACUUCCCACUACAAACCGACACAUGUCAAAAUUUUUGGUAUCACUACUAUUGCCUUUUAUAGGGAUAGUGGCAAUAGAAGAUGAAGAUCCAACAAUGCAGUAUAUAACAGUCCUAGUGUCCAACAAUAUUAUACCAUAAUUCUUUCGAUUGUUGUAAGAAAAAUACUCAAGCUAACAACUAUUUGAAAGGUUUUCUUUGUAGUUGCAAAGGCAUCCAAGAAAAUGGCAACAGAAAUAAAAGUUUAAAAAUAUAAGUUGGUUUUAUGCAUAGGCAUCCAACCAAGUUUUCCUACUAGACAGACAGACAUGACAACAACAACCAAGUUUUCCUACUAGAUGAGAUUGGUUACAUGGAUUAAUUAACUAAAGCCAAAAUGUUCUCUUGUGCGUUAAUUCAAAGAUAGAUCAUAAAACAGUCAAAUUCCACUAUGUUAAUUCAAACAGCUUCCUCUUAAAACCUCAAGGGUUUGCCGGUUGGUGAAAGACUUGGACAUGAGUCUGCUCCUCUCAAGGUCUCAAGUUCGAAUUUCACUAGGUGCUAACAAUCCUUGUGUUGGGUCAAUCCAUACAGAGCUUUGCUCUGCCUUUAAAUGGCCCCCCCGAUAGUGGACGGUGGGAAUGGUCCCCUUUGAUUAGUCACUCUCAAGGCCGGAUACCAAGUUUUCAAAAAAAAAAAAAUCAGCUUCCUCUUAUUUUCCUGACCACAGUAUUACUCACCAGCUGAAUGAGAUAGCAUAACAAAAUUCCUAAGGUCUGUCCUAUUGUUAACCACAAAAAUACAAAUACAUACGCUAAACGGAGCCAAGACAUAGUACCAACACUCAGCUGACUACAGAAACAACUAAGGAGGAUCAGAACUAGUCACCACCAAACAUCGACCCUGACUAAUUCAAAAAUUUUAAGCCAUGACUUUCCUUUUCUGUUCACAAAAAUGUUAGAUGCAAUGUUUGAAGCGUUCUACCCUGCAUUUAGUUGUUAAUCCCUAUCAAUGUAAGUAAAUGCACCUUGCAAAUCUCCAUUUAUACUAGAUAGCUAUAACCAAAUCAAUAUGCAAUUUAGGAUUUCUUUUACUUAUAGCAGUUGUUUUACAAAAAGAAGAAGGCUUAAAGGCUUUUAAAAGGGAGUUCAUUUUUUCUUAAUAAAAGAUGUUUUACAGUUUCUCUUGAAUGCAAUCCAAUUGGUGACCAAAAAAACCCAGCCUCUAUUGAGUUUACUAUCUCCUAUACUGUUUGAACAUACUUUCACGUAGGAUUUAACAAGGCUCUCAAAUUAUUUCAGAUACUGUUUUUUUAGUUACACAUUUUCCAUCUCGACCAUCACUCAUAUGUGCGCUUUACUAAAAUCGUCAUACCCCGCUCGCCUUACUAUCAAUUAAGUUAAAUUAAAUGUAAAACAAACACACAAAAAGCGCAAUCUCAAAAGUCCAUCACCUAGACACUAAAUCAAAUCCAAGUUUCACAAAAAAACACAAUACACAUCAUCAUCAUCGUCAUCAUCAUUAUCAUCUAUGUAACAUUAAAUAUUGAUUGUAUUCUCAGGUAAGAUAUGAGUAUCAACCAUUUAAAAAAGUUCCUAACAAGUAAAAGAAAACUGAACAAUACCUGGUAAGAAGGUCCAAAAGCUAACCCAGUUAGCUUGGCUUUAUCCUCUCUUGGUCUAUUCUUCAUCAACUCAUCUUGCUUCACUUCAAUCACUUCCACCGGAACCUCCUUCCUACCUCUCUUCCCAGUAAACUUCAACACACUCUCACUAAUCGCAGAAUCCUCCGGGGCCAUUGGCACCGACCUAUCAACCCAUUUAUUUUCAUACUGUCCAUAAUCCUCAUAGGCACCGUAGUUCGCAUACCCAUCACCAUUGGAAGCAGUGCCAGUGCUAGCACCAGAACUCUCAUACUGGUCAGUUGGAUAUUGGUAAUUCCCAUAACUAUCAUACUGGUCAGUGGCAUAUUGGUAAUUCUCAUAAUUUUCAUAAUCCCCUCGGUUUUGAUCUUCAGGAACAUUGCUCUCUGCGGCGACUGAGACAGAGACACCACCGGAACUUGGCUCCGGUGCUGGUGUGUUAGUUUCGAGGAUGGAUCUCCGGCCGGAACCUGAGCUUGAUUGAACACCAAGAGUGGAAGAGUUUCGCGGGGCUGGAAUGCUGGACAAAAAUGAUUUCACCGAUGGAGCUUGAAUGGAAGACUCCAACUUUCUUCUUCUGUUUCGUUCUUCUUCUUCGUCAUCAUCUUCAUCCUCUUCAAGAUUGGGUUUUGGUAAAGGAAUGAUUGGGGGUUUGAAUUGGACGACUCUUUUGGGUUUUUCAUGGAUUUGGGAUUUAGGUUUUGGGAGAGAAGAGAUUCCGGUCAAAUUGGAGGGGGCGGCGGAAAGUGUGUCGGAAGAGGGUUGUUUGGGAGGAGGAAGAAAGUUGAAGAGAGAAGAGGAAGAAGAUGAUUUGGGUGGAGGAAGAGUGGGGAAGAGGGAGGAAGAAGACGAAGUUGUUUUGGACGGGAUUGGUUGUUGGUGGUCUUCGUCUUCGUCUGAAGAGGCGUAAGUUGCUAGCAGAGAAUCCAUGGCGGCGAUGACGACGGAAACACGAUUGGAAUUAGCAGCAGCAAAUUUUUCUGAUCGAUUAACCCACUCAACCCUAGAUAUGCCUUUGCUAUUGCUGCGUUUUGUGUUUUUUUUUUAUGGUUUUAGGUGUAUUUGAAAAGUUUUUUUAUGGUAAAUUUAUUUGUGUUGUUUAAUCAAAAUUAUUACAAAAUACUAAAUAUUUUGGUUUAGGGAAGAAACAAGAUUUAAAGUAGAGUUUGGGUUAGUGUAUUAUAAUCAUUUAUAUGUGGUAUUUUAAAUGUGAUUAAAGUAAAAAUUAAAGAGUUAUGAUUAAUUAAUAGUGUAAAUUAUGCAUAUCAAUUAAAAAAUUUAUGGUAUUUAAAAAUAAAUAAAAAUUAUUCUCAUUUUAAUAGGAGUAUUAACAUAUAUAAGACGAAAAGUUCACUUGGACCUCCUUUGAAGAAUAACAUUCAUAUGAUUAAGUUUUUAGUGCCAUAUGAAGAAUAACAUACACAUGAUCAAGAAUAAUCUCGUUGAUGCGAUGUCUAAUUGAUGACGUCAAGACAAAAUGUAAUUCUUCGGUUAUGGACCUAAAGAAGGUUUAAGGAUCUUAUGAACAAGAAUGAAAUUGCCUUAAGAAAAUACAUGCUUAUAAAAUUUGUUUGAAGGAUGACAAUGAUAUAACAGAAUGAGUAAUAUUGUGGUAUAUGUCUCUUUGUACAACUAUCAUGCACAAGAAAUUCUUAAAUCCCAAAGAAACCAUAUGAUGUGACUAUAAAAGGAAAGUCAGUAUGUCAAAUUCCUAGACUGACUUGGAGAACACAGUACAAAUUCCUAAGAAUCAACCCAAAUAUGAUUUCCUCACACUUACAUGAGCAACUCCGAUCUACACCAGAUCAUUAACAUCGUCUGUAUCAAACGUGCAUUAAUAUUUCAAUGUGUUACUCAACAUGAGAGUGUUGAACCGUAGGGACAGAAUCACUUAAAACUUUAACCUUCCUUGUUGAGUCGUAGCUAGUAAGAUCAUUUAGAUUAACCUUAACUUUAACAAUGGACUAACUUUAUCUUCCCCACAUCAGGAAAUUUGGAUUCAUCUAUCUCCAACGUUUACAACAAUCCUUAUUUCUCCACCACACCUUGAACUUGUGCCACCUCAAAUGUCUCUCUACGAGUUGAGGAAACCCUGCAGAAAAAUCUCAAUAAAAGUUUUAAUGUCAAAACACUUGUUUAAAAAUUGAGAUAAUAAAUAAUUUGAAAUUGCAAAUGAAAGAGGUGAUUUGAAAUCUGAAAGAUAAGAGUAUUUAUAGGAGCAUUACACCUUUUUAAAAAGAGUCAAGAAUAGAGUAAACCAAAAUUUCCCUAAUCAGGGAAUCAAUUUCCACGCGAUGAAUUUGUAUAGGCUAAUAAUGUUGGGGUCAUAGAUGCCAAGAAGUUGAGAAAAGGCAAUGAUGAAAUAUUGUCUCGUUAUGGUACAUGUAUAAGCCUAACUUUUUUUUAAAAAGUAAGAAGGUGAAAGAAUAUAGAUCCAAUCCAAUAGUUGAAGAAAGGAAUCUAAAGGCCUCUCAACCACCGGUGAACAUAUAAUAUGUCACUAGAAGCCACAUCGUUUAAGAAAAGUAAUAGAUUUCGUCACACUUUGUAAUCAUACUAUACUUGUCAAAAUAAGUGUCAAUUUAAAGUAAAAAUCAUUUAAAGUUUUUGCAUACAUAUUAAGGAGUGAAAUAAAAUUGUCAAAAUAAGUGACAUUUAAAGUUUUUGAAUACAUAUUAAGGAGUGAAAUAAAAUUGUUAAAAUAUACUAUAUUUUUUCUAAAUUAACUUUAUUAAUGUGUUGGAAUAGUGUAUAUGAUAUGACUUAAAUUCUAUAAUUGAAAUAGGGUCAGUGGAUAACUCAACUAGUAUGUGUUAUUUGAGUUAAAUGUAUGUAAGUUGCUGAUCCAUGAUUCGAUUCCUGUAAACAAAUUGUUGAUAUUUAUAAGUCAACAACUUUAAAAAAUAACAAUUAAAAUGAUAUCAAUCAUUUUUAUUUCUAUAUUAAGAAGUGAGAAUGACAUUAAUUUUGAAAGAAAUUUUGUUUCCUAAAACAACACUCACUUUGAAAUGUAGAGAAUAGUUUAUAAUUUUCAUAAUACAUCAUUAAAAUCUUUGAAAUCAUUUCAAUGUUAUUAAAAAGUAAAAAGAUGUAUAUUUUAUAAUUAAUCGAUUUAUUUUUAGUAGAAAUACGAGUAACAUGUAGAGGUACUUAGGUACCAUUGGUGCCCAUGAGAGUAUGAGCCUAAGUAAAAGCAUUUUGUCAAACUACGAAUAUGCAUACAUGUGCUACAAUAUCCGACCCGUUGUCAUCUAUAGAAAGACUACUUAAAAGAACAUGAAGGUAAAAUCACUUUGUUAUUUUUAAAUAAUAAUCACUUUAUUGUUAAAAGAUUUAACAUUUGUAUUGACUUUAGAAUUCAUUUAUUAAUUAUCUAUUUACUCUACUUUUUUAUUUUAAAAUCACAAAGUUUGACACGCCGCAAGUGUAUGUCAAUAUCGAAGUAGUAAAAUGGUUGUCGUACCAUAGAGACCAAAUAAUUGAUUAUCGAUUUCUAUCUUAUCGUUGUUUAGAUAAAGCGAUAAAAAAUGAGUUUGGGAUUAUAUUUUCUGUUAAGAAAUAAGAAGCUUAAAACAUGACAUAGGGUGGAUGAUUCAUAUCCAAAAAGACUCACGUGAUCUAUAGUUCUAUCAUGAGAAACAUAUCAAAUUAUAGAAAAAUAAAGAAAAUUAGACAACACCUAAUUUCGUUAGCGGGUUGUCUUGUCUCAAAUAAAUAAUUUAUCCACUUUCAUCAGCCCAAUUUAUUUGCUAGAGAUUAGUUUUACGCAACUAUAAAAGUGGAGCUUUCACAACCGAGUUUGAGAUAUUUUCGUUGUCUCGUACUCAGAUGUCUAGAACUCCGCUUUCGAAUACCAAAAUACACCCUUUCAGUGUAUGAUCGGUAUAUGAAAUGUCCUUACUUUUGUAAAUGGCAUAUGCGUUAAAAGCUUAUAAUUCUA
rnacentral:lncRNA from 1 species